GAGGCCACAGAGGCCGUAACAUCGUAACUGAUAUGAAAAGAUGGUAUGUAGUCCAGUACCUGUAUAGUUCCUAUUGUUAAUGCAAGGUAUCAAAUAUACUGAGGAGUAGCGAACUACAACACAGUUUACUGAAGUGCGUCCCAAGAAUAUGCUGUUAUAGCGAUGCUUUUCGCAAUAAAUACACAUUGGGUACUGUAAACUAAACAAUAUGGUUUGAAAGCGUAUAGCAAUGUCGCAGCAAGAUGAAUGAUUGAAAAAUUUAGAUAUUUAAAAAGAAUAGUCAGUUAAUUAAAAAUUUGCUGUGAAACACCUGUACAUUCUCUACGUUUAGCAAACGUACUAAAUGCAAACAAAAU